rnacentral:SRP_RNA from 1 species
GCUGAGCUUGGUCACGCAAGCUUGUGACCUAAGUAGGAGCAUCAAAAUGGUGGAACAAUAAACUUGAUAAGUGUAUACAGAUGUAUGUUGCUCGCUGGUUUGGGGUUUCAACUAGGAAAGCCGCCAUCACAUGGGGGAAAUGACUGCUCUCUGCUCCAGAGCAGCAGGCCCUCUAGCUAGCCACACUUGGCAGAUGAUGCGCGCAUGACCUAACCCCCACGGAAAAACCUCGACAUGUACCAUCUAAAAUCUCUAUCUAAUUGAACCAUCAUUUUU